UACGUAGGGCGCAAGCGUUGUCCGGAAUUAUUGGGCGUAAAGAGCUCGUAGGCGGCUUGUCACGUCGGGUGUGAAAGCCCGAGGCUCAACUUCGGGUCGGCCACUGAUACUGCUGGGCUUGAGUCGACUAGAGGCAGAUGGAAUUCCGGGUGUAGCGGUGGAAUGCGUAGAUAUCAGGAGGAACACCAGUGGCGAAGGCGGCUAUCUGGGCUGCAACUGACGCUGAGGCGCGAAGGCUAGGGUAGCAAACAGG
rnacentral:rRNA from 1 species